rnacentral:rRNA from 1 species
AUAAGAUAUCAAGGGCAACAGGUGAAUGCCUUGGCGCUGAGAGGCGAUGAAAGACGCGGUAAGCUGCGAUAAGCAUCGGGGAGGAGCUAAACAUCCUACGAUCCGAUGAUUUCUGAAUGGGGAAACCCGAUGGGAGUCAUGUCCCAUCAUCCUGAGCUGAAUAUAUAGGCCCAGAGAAGCCAACCCGGGGAAGUGAAACAUCUCAGUACCCGGAGGAAGAGAAAUCAAACGAGACUCCCAAAGUAGCGGCGAGCGAAAUGGGAAGAGCCCAAACCGAGUGGUUUCGACCAUUCGGGGUUGUAGGGCCGGCAUACGCGAUUCUGGAGUAGGCAGAGGAAGUGAGCUGGAAAGCUCCGCCACAGCGGGUGAUAGCCCCGUACUCGAAACCGAAAAGGACGCAGCCGGUACCUGAGUACUGCGAGGCACGUGGAACCUCGUGGGAAUCUAGGGGGACCAUCCUCUAAGGCUAAGUACUCCUCAGCGACCGAUAGUGAACUAGUACCGUGAGGGAAAGGUGAAAAGAACCCCUGUUAGGGGAGUGAAAUAGAAUCUGAAACCUGUUGCCUACAAGCUGCGAGAGCUACUUCGGUAGUGAUCGCGUGCCUUUUGUAUAAUGAGUCAGCGAGUUACUCUACCGUGCGAGGUUAAGCGAAAGCGUAGCCGUAGUGAAAGCGAGGCUUAAUAGGCCGACUAGUACGUUGGAGUAGACCCGAAACCGGGUGAUCUAUCCAUGAGCAGGUUGAAGCAAGGGUAAAGCCUUGUGGAGGACCGAACCGUCAACGGCUGAAAACGUUCCGGAUGACUUGUGGAUAGGGGUGAAAGGUCAAUCAAACCCGGUGAUAGCUGGUUCUCCCCGAAAUAUAUUGAGGUAUAGCCUCGGGAAUUGAUUAGCGGAGGUAAAGCACUGACAGAGCUAGGGGUCCUACCAGAUUACCAAACUCUAUCAAACUCAGAAUGCCGCUUAAUUGUAUCCCGGGAGUCAGACGGCGGGUGCGAAGGUUCGUCGUCAAAAGGGAAACAGCCCAGACCAACAGCUAAGGUCUCCAAAUCCAUGCUCAGUGGUGAAGGUAGUGGAACCGUUUAGACAGCCAGGACGUUGGCUUAGAAGCAGCCAUCAUUUAAAGAAAGCGUAAUAGCUCACUGGUCUAAUGGCUCUGCGCCGAAAAUGUAACGGGGCUAAGCAUGGUACCGAAGCUUUGGCAAUCUCCUUUGGAGAUUGGGUAGGGGAGCGUUCGCUGCGGGCUGAAGGUGUAUCGGAAGGUAUGCUGGACUGCAGUGAAGUGAUUAUGCUGACAUGAGUAACGAUAAAAUAUGUGAAAAACAUAUUCGCCGAAAACCCGAGGUUUCCUGGGUAAAGGUAAUCUUCCCAGGGUUAGUCGGAUCCUAAGGUGAGGGUGAAAGCCGUAACCGAUGGAAAACAGGUUAAUAUUCCUGUACUUGUUGUGUAGCGCGAUGGAGGGACGCAGGAAGAUAGGCGGGCCGGGUGUUGGAUAUCCCGGUGCAAGCGUGUAGGAAUAUCCGGUAGGCAAAUCCGCCGGACGAAUCUGAGACGCGAGUCCGUGGGCGCAAGCCCUGAAGCCGUUGAGUCUAUGCUGCCUAGAAAAGCUCCUAAGUUUAUCCACAGCAAUCCGUACCGCAAACCAACUCAGGUGGGUGGGAUGAACAAUCCAAGGCGCUCGAGAGAACUCUGGCCAAGGAACUCGGCAAAAUAACCCCGUAACUUCGGAAGAAGGGGUGCUCUCUAGGGUGACAUGUUUAACAUAUGAAGCCCCGGGGAGCCGCAGUGAAUUGGUGGUGGCGACUGUUUACUAAAAACAUAGGUCUGUGCGAAGUCCUAAAGACGACGUAUACGGACUGACGCCUGCCCGGUGCUGGAAGGUUAAAAGGAGGGGUCAGCGCAAGCAAAGCUCCGAAUUGAAGCCCCAGUAAACGGCGGCCGUAACUAUAACGGUCCUAAGGUAGCGAAAUUCCUUGUCGGGUAAGUUCCGACCUG